UACGUAGGGUGCGAGCGUUAAUCGGAAUUACUGGGCGUAAAGCGUGCGCAGGCGGUUUUGUAAGCCAGAUGUGAAAUCCCCGGGCUUAACCUGGGAAUGGCAUUUGGGACUGCAAGGCUGGAGUUUGGCAGAGGAGACUGGAAUUCCUGGUGUAGCAGUGAAAUGCGUAGAUAUCGUAAGGAAGACCAGUGGCGAAGGCGGGUCUCUGGACAGUUCCUGACGCUGAGGCACGAAGGUCAGGGGAGCAAACGGG
rnacentral:rRNA from 1 species